GUCUGCGCGAGGGUCGAUGUGCAGUCUGGCCUGCCCCCUGAGGUUUUAAAGGGCCGCGGUAUUUGGACCGUGCUAAGGUAGCAUAAUAAAUAGUCUUUUAAUUGAAGUCUAGUAUGAACGGUCGGACACGGAGUAAGCUGUUUUAGCUUUAAUGUUUGAAUUUUACUUUUAAGUGAAAAGGCUUAAAUUACAUGGUGGGACGAUAAGACCCUAUAAAGCUUUACGUUUUAUUCUUUGUUAAAAGGUUUAAGGUUUUUUAUUCUUAUUGAGUAUAACGUUUCGUUGGGGCGACGGAAAUAUAAAAUAGUAACUGUUUUUAUUUAUAAAAAUAUACUUUUAUAGGAGAGUUGGUCCUUUUUAGAGAUUACAAGAUUUAAGUUACUUUAGGGAUAACAGCGUAAUUUAUCUUGAGAGUUCGUAUCGACAGAUAUAGUUGCGACCUCGAUGUUGAAUUAAAAUGCCCCCCAGGUGUAGCAGUUUCGGUGGUAGGUCUGUUCGACCUUUAAAAUUUUACAUGAUUUGAGUUCAGACCGGCGUA
rnacentral:rRNA from 1 species